AGCAGCCGCGGUAAUUCCAGCUCCAAUAGCGUAUAUUAAAGUUGUUGCAGUUAAAAAGCUCGUAGUUGAAUUUCGGGAUUUGUCAGUUGGUCGGGCUUCACUGUCCGUAUUGACUUGAUGGAUUCUUACCUUCUGAAUAACCAGCAUGCUAUUAAGUUAGUGCGUUGGGGAAGCAGAUCUAUUACCUUGAAAAAAUUAGAGUGCUUAAAGCGAGCUAGUGCUUGAAUAGAUUAGCAUGGAAUAAUAAAAUAGGACGGCAUGGUUCUAUUUUGUUGGUUUCUAGGAUCACCGUAAGUGAUUAAUAGGGAUAGUUGGGGGCAUUAGUAUUCAAUUGUCAGAGGUGAAAUUCUUGGAUUUAUUGAAGACUAACUUCUGCGAAAGCAUUUGCCAAGGAUGUUUUCAUUAAUCAAGAACGAAAGUUAGGGGAUCGAAGACGAUCAGAUACCGUCGUAGUCUUAACCAUAAACUAUGCCGACUAGGAAUCGGACGAUGUUAAUUUUAUAAUGACUCGUUCGGCACC
rnacentral:rRNA from 1 species